UACGGGGGGAGCAAGCGUUGUUCGGAUUUACUGGGCGUAAAGGGCGCGUAGGCGGCGCAACAAGUCACUUGUGAAAUCUCCGGGCUUAACCCGGAGCGGUCAAGUGAUACUGUCGUGCUAGAGUGCGGAAGGGGCUACUGGAAUUCUCGGUGUAGCGGUGAAAUGCGUAGAUAUCGAGAGGAACACCUGCGGUGAAGGCGGGUAGCUGGGCCGACACUGACGCUGAUGCGCGAAAGCCAGGGGAGCGAACGGG
rnacentral:rRNA from 1 species